UACGAAGGGGGCUAGCGUUGCUCGGAAUCACUGGGCGUAAAGCGCACGUAGGCGGAUUGUUAAGUCAGGGGUGAAAUCCUGGAGCUCAACUCCAGAACUGCCUUUGAUACUGAGGAGCUUGAGUCCGGGAGAGGUGAGUGGAACUGCGAGUGUAGAGGUGAAAUUCGUAGAUAUUCGCAAGAACACCAGUGGCGAAGGCGGCUCACUGGCCCGAUACUGACGCUGAGGUGCGAAAGCGUGGGAGCAACAGG
rnacentral:rRNA from 1 species